rnacentral:rRNA from 1 species
AAUAUUGGACAAUGGGGGCAACCCUGAUCCAGCCGUGCCGCGUGAGUGAAGAAGGUCUACGGAUUGUAAAGCACUUUUAGUUGGGAGGAAGGGUUGUAGGUUAAUACCCUGAAAUUUUGACGUUACCAACAGAAUAAGCACCGGCUCACUCCGUGUCAGCAGCCGCGGUAAUACGAAGGGUGCAAGCGUUAAUCGGAAUUACUGGGCGUAAAGCGCGCGUAGGUGGUUCGUUAAGUUGGAAGUGAAAGCCCCGGGCUUAACCUGGGAAUUGCUUUCAAAACUGACGAGCUAGAGUACGGUAGAGGGUAGUGGAAUUUCCUGUGUAGCGGUGAAAUGCGUAGAUAUAGGAAGGAACACCAGUGGCGAAGGCGACUACCUGGACUGAUACUGACACUGAGGUGCGAAAGCGUGGGGAGCAAACA